rnacentral:rRNA from 1 species
UACGUAGGGUGCAAGCGUUGUCCGGAAUUAUUGGGCGUAAAGAGCUCGUAGGCGGUUCGUCGCGUCGGCUGUGAAAUCCCGAGGCUCAACCUCGGGUCUGCAGUCGAUACGGGCGGACUGGAGUUCGGCAGGGGAGACUGGAAUUCCUGGUGUAGCGGUGAAAUGCGCAGAUAUCAGGUGGAACACCGGUGGCGAAGGCGGGUCUCUGGGCCGAUACUGACGCUGAGGAGCGAAAGCGUGGGGAGCAAACAGG